UAAAUAUCUAAAUUUAAUAAGUAUAUCAUUUACAAUGAUAAGAUGUUUUUAACUUUAUUUAAAUUUUUUUAAUUAAUAAGAAUUAUAUUUGU
rnacentral:tRNA from 1 species